AGCUCGUGUCGUGACGAUGUUCGGUUAAGUCCGGCAACGAGCGCAACCACAUCCUUAGUGCCAUCAUUCAUUGGGCACUCUAGGGAAACUGCCCGUGAUAAGCGGGAGGAAGGUGUGGAUGACGUCAAGUCCUCAUGGCCCUUACGGUUGGGCUACACACGUGCUACAAUGGUAGUGACAAUGGGUUAAUCCCAAAAAGCUAUCUCAGUUCGGAUUGGGGUCUGCAACUCGACCCCAUGAAGUCGGAAUCGCUAGUAAUCGCGUAACAGCAUGACGCGGUGAAUACGUUCCCGGGCCCUU
rnacentral:rRNA from 1 species